CAUCCUAUCUUAAACGGACGUCACAACAGGAGUACACUAUGUUACUCAAACUUAAAGAUCAGACUAACUCACAGCUACUACAACCGACAGAUACUAGACAACUACUGAUUGAACAAAUCAUUAAGCAACCGAAUGACUUACUGUUUAGCAAAACCACGUACAUGCUACAUAAACUACAACUGAAAACAUACACCCAGGGCAACAAAGCCCAAUCAAAAAUCCCAUACUUG